rnacentral:rRNA from 1 species
GACGAACGCUGGCGGCGUGCUUAACACAUGCAAGUCGAACGGAAAGGCCCUGCUUUUGUGGGGUGCUCGAGUGGCGAACGGGUGAGUAACACGUGAGUAACCUGCCCUUGACUUUGGGAUAACUUCAGGAAACUGGGGCUAAUACCGGAUAGGAGCUCCUGCUGCAUGGUGGGGGUUGGAAAGUUUCGGCGGUUGGGGAUGGACUCGCGGCUUAUCGGCUUGUUGGUGGGGUAGUGGCUUACCAAGGCUUUGACGGGUAGCCGGCCUGAGAGGGUGACCGGCCACAUUGGGACUGAGAUACGGCCCAGACUACUACGGGAGGCAGCAGUGGGGACUAUUGCAAAAUGGGCGGAAGCCUGAUGCAGCAACGCCGGGUGCGGGAUGACGGCCUUCGGGUUGGAAACCGCUUUCGCGUGUGACGAAGCGUGAGUGACGGUAAUGGGUAAAGAAGCACCGGCUAACUACGU